CCUACGGGUCGCACCAGUGGGGAAUAUUGCACAAUGGGCGCAAGCCUGAUGCAGCCAUGCCGCGUGUAUGAAGAAGGCCUUCGGGUUGUAAAGUACUUUCAGCGGGGAGGAAGGUGUUGUGGUUAAUAACCGCAGCAAUUGACGUUACCCGCAGAAGAAGCACCGGCUAACUCCGUGCCAGCAGCCGCGGUAAUACGGAGGGUGCAAGCGUUAAUCGGAAUUACUGGGCGUAAAGCGCACGCAGGCGGUUUGUUAAGUCAGAUGUGAAAUCCCCGGGCUCAACCUGGGAACUGCAUCUGAUACUGGCAAGCUUGAGUCU
rnacentral:rRNA from 1 species